AAAAGGGUGGUAAUGCCGGAUGCUCCAGUUGACCGCAUGGUCCUCUGGGAAAGCUUUUGCGGUAUGGGAUGGGGUCGCGUCCUAUCAGCUUGAUGGCGGGGUAACGGCCCACCAUGGCUUCGACGGGUAGCCGGCCUGAGAGGGCGACCGGCCACAUUGGGACUGAGAUACGGCCCAGACUCCUACGGGAGGCAGCAGUGGGGAAUAUUGCACAAUGGGCGCAAGCCUGAUGCAGCGACGCCGCGUGCGGGAUGACGGCCUUCGGGUUGUAAACCGCUUUUGACUGGGAGCAAGCCCUUCGGGGUGAGUGUACCUUUCGAAUAAGCACCGGCUAACUACGUGCCAGCAGCCGCGGUAAUACGUAGGGUGCAAGCGUUAUCCGGAAUUAUUGGGCGUAAAGGGCUCGUAGGCGGUUCGUCGCGUCCGGUGUGAAAGUCCAUCGCUUAACGGUGGAUCCGCGCCGGGUACGGGCGGGCUUGAGUGCGGUAGGGGAGACUGGAAUUCCCGGUGUAACGGUGGAAUGUGUAGAUAUCGGGAAAGAACAC
rnacentral:rRNA from 1 species